rnacentral:piRNA from 1 species
UGUUGACCCUUUGGACUGAAUCGUGA